rnacentral:misc_RNA from 1 species
UUUCCGUAGGUGAACCUGCGGAAGGAUCAUUGUCGAAACCUGCCCAGCAGAACGACCCGCGAACUUGUAUAAACAACCGGGGGCGGGGGGCGUUCUCGCCCCGUGCCCCCGAACGGCGGGGAGACACUCGUGCCUUCCUGCCGAACAACGAACCCCGGCGCGGUCUGCGCCAAGGAACUUCAACUAAAGAGUGCCUCCGGUCGCCUCGGAAACGGCGUGCGUGCCGGGGGCGAAGCUUGUGCAAAACCAUAACGACUCUCGGCAACGGAUAUCUCGGCUCUC